AUGGAUGUUGCAGUUUACAACGACCUCUUGGCGCUGAUAACACCAUAAAUUAAACUCUUUCCAAAAUUGCUCGUUCAUGCGCGACACCAUCUCUGCACACUGUCUUUUUUUCAACUGAAAAAAUACACUGCGUGCAUUGCAGCCCUUCCCACGAUCACACUUGUGUGACACACCAGCAGGAAAAUUAAACAAUUUUGAAAACUUUGAACAUGUGUGCCAUGCAUGUUUUUUCCCCCUUUACACGAUACAACUUGGUGUGAUGUCACACAUAUUGUCACACAUAUGUGACCGUGUAAAGGCCGCUAAUGUAAUUAAUGAAAUCGGUUCAGGAAUUACCUCAGCCCUCAUAUCUAUAUAUCGUCACCUAAAAUGCAAAAGGCCGUAACUAACAUUUUUAGUAUUUUACAGGAGAAGCAAAAAACGUUAUAGAUUAAAGACUACUUAAAGCUAAAUAUCCAAAUUGUAGAUUUAAGCUUAGAAAACAAAGACGGAUUUGUUUCUGAAAACCAAAUUAAUGGGAAAAAAGCAGUUUUUAAGAAAUGUUAGUUACGGCCUUUUGCACUCUAUUUUUCUGAAACCAAAAAGCCGUAACUACUUGAAAAAAAUUGUGUAUAAAAUGAAAGCAAUGGUUUAAAUAAGAGAAUGUGCUUUUAGGCUGUAACUAAAAAAAGUUUUUAACAAGUUAUGUCUUUUUGUAUCUAUUUAUUGUAAGUAUUUUAACACAAAAGAAAUUAUUUAAUUAGUACAUUUAAUUCGAGAAAAUAAAACUAAAUUAAACUGGUUAAGAAAAACAAAAUAAUUCAUUUGAAAACAACAAAACCUGCAAUACAAAUAGUAAAUUAGAAUAGGUUUACCCUUCUGCUAUGUUAGGAAAAAAUUACACACAUAGUGUUUUGGGUCAAUUUGACCCACUUAUAAAAACUCCACUAAUAACACUAUUUUAUUGAAAGAGUUCAUAUAUUUUUAUUUGAAUCAACUUAAGUGUAUGUUAAUUGUAGAAAAUAGUUGAGAUAUGUAUGUUUUAACGGCAAUUUUCAUAAACUAAGCUGCUGUGUUCCUUGCAAACAAAUUUUUGGCACGUACUACAAACAGCUGAAUAUUUGUUCGAAUUUUUUGUAUGAUAACAGAAGAAACAUCCCUGUCGUUUUUGGGUGGAUUCAUUUCUGGCAGAGCAUAGAGCUGGGCAAAAAUAUACUCGAUUUCCGAUAACUAGCUUUCUUUGUCGGCGUUUUUGAUCGAGUGAUGUAAUAAUAAACGGCAAAAUGUUUCAAAAUACUAGGUGGGUCAAAUUGACCCAACAACGUAAUAAGUGUAAUGAAAUUACAUUUGGCAUCCUCCAGCAACAUAAAAAACAGAUAUUAUUAUAAUUUUCAUAUUUAUCUAUUCCAUUUACUUCAGUUAACAAAUAUAAGAAGAAUCAAUACAAUACGACUAGACUAACAAGCGAAUUUCGACGAGUUUUACUGAAAAUUGGCUCAAAUUGACCCAAACAUAGCAGAAGGGUUAAGAUGUAAAGGGUAUAUUAUCAUAAAAGCUGUGGCAGUCAGCCGGAAGUAAAAAUUUAAGUUCCUGCAGGUGUUUCCAUUUCUUUUUGGAUAUUGAUAUUCUUUCGGUAUGUAACUGUGAAGGUUCGAUGUCCCUAAAUUUUUGUUGUGGACGUUGUGGCAAAACGUUAUAAUCGCCGUUGAUAUUUGUUUUAUAAUAAAUUAUUCCAGAUGGAUCAUAUGCCAAGGCACGGAUCAUAUUAACAGUUGGCUCUCCGGAUUUUUUGCCUGUAUUGAAGAAAGACAAAACACAAUAACACAAUUUGAUAAAGAAUGAAAGAUAAUGAAAACAACUGUAAUUACGGAUAACACAAUGUGUCACAUUGAAAUUGAAUCAAAGAGAAUGAAAAAAGGGUAGUUACGGCUUUUUGGUUUAUGAAAUUGUUCAAGUUGUAGUUGCGGCCUUCUGAUUCUCGCCUAUAAAGUCGUUAUUUUUGGACAUAUGCAUGUAAAAUUUGCUGUGUAUACGUGUUUCGGUUAAGUACUUCAUAAUCAAUCAAAAAGUCAAUUUUGAAUUUUUUGUUAGUUACGGCCUUUUGCAUUUUAGGUGACGAUAUGACGAUUUUCGUUAUUCUAUUAAACUUUAUGCCGAAUUUAUGUGUGUUAUCUUAAUAUAAUUACUUCAAUAAAUUGCGAGAGUAUGAAAUGUUCGGUUGCACCUGAACUUAGCGUUUCCUUACUUGUUGUUUAAUAACUUCGUGCAAUCGACGUUGCAUUGAUUUUUUUCGUAAGUUUUUGGGAUAACUUCUUGCACUUGCUUUGCAAUGCUUUUUGAAGUUGUUUCCAGCCCCUAAUAUUGUAAAUUUUAAACCCUUUCUUAACGAUAGACCAUCAAUUUUCAAUUGGGUUUAUAUCUGGGCCUUGCGGUGUUGUUUUUAGGUAAAAUGGACAGAAGUACAAGUACCAAAGAUGGUAUGUUUGGGGUUAUUUUCUUGGUGAAACAGAUAUCGACCCCCCAAUCCAAUGUUAUCUGCAUUUUGUGGAAAAAAUUUAUAUAAAAAUCAACACAUUUGUCAUUCUGCAGUAAUUUUUCAUCCAAAUCUAGUUUUUGUUUGGUUUCAAAAUGUCUAUUUUCGCUGAAAAAAUAGGGUGUACGAAUACUGAUUUUGCAUACUGUAUAUGAAUCCCUUCUCUACAUAUUAAGUUGGCUACGCUGCAAGACGGCUAGAGUUACUUACUACACAAAACAAUCAAAUUUUUCCAGCUGUUUACAGAUACAAUUACAACAUUUACUUUUGUUUACAAUUUCCAAUAGAAUUGGAGAAUACUUUAGUUAGAACUAGAGAACAUAUCGCUACUCUAAGCAUAUUUAUAUGAUAACAUGUUAAAAGAAGAAAGAAUAAUACACUUGUUUUUCUUGUAUUUUCAAGAAAUCCCUCGUUGUAGCAAAUAGACAUUUUGUUAAAAAAUUUGGCGUGUAAGCAGAAGUAGUACGAUGGAAACGUUUCGAAAAAUUGCAGGCAAACUAAUAUCGAGGAGCUAUAUAAUAUGAAAUUCAGAUUAGUAAUUUAUUUUAUAUGGACAUUAUGUUAAAUAUACUAAAUAGUGGAAUAUUUAAGAACAUACAUAUGUAUAUAUGCAUAUGCCUUUUAAAAUCAUUUACAGAACAUUUCAGUGGCAACAGACUGGUCAACGUUCACAUCGUUGAUGGAAACCGUCUCUAUAGUCAAAGCUUUUGGUACGUGCAAGCGUUUGUGCUAAAUUUAGGAAAUGCCACUAUAUUAAAAAUAUAUGUUUCUUUAUUUAAUCAAAUAAUUUACUGCCAACAGUCAAUGGCAAACGACGCUUCACAGCAGCUUUCGAUAUUACAAACAUUGCCAACUCUUUCGUGCGCUGUCAAUUAUGCUAGUGGCGAGAGGUCACUGCUAAGUAAAGUCCUCUUUGGUCUUACUUGUCUUCAUCUUUUUCACACUCUAGUCAAACUAAUGUGGCGCGUGAUAAGGAAGCGAAACGUUUGGGUCUGGUGGUGAACGAGGACAAUAUACCAAAUAUCUCCUGUCAUCGAACAAACAGUCAGCACAUUUGCGUCUUGGCUCCCACGUCACUGUUGACAGUCAUAACUUUAAAGUUGUAAAUAAUUUCGAAUACCUAGGCACCAGCAUCAACACAGAUAAUAACGUCAGUCUUGAAAUCCACCGCAGAAUCACUCUUGCCAACAGGUGCUACUAUGGACUGAGUAGGCAAUUGAAAAGUAAAGUCCCCUCUCAACGAACAAAAACCAAUAUCAACAAGUCCCUCAUCAUUCCCGUCUUCCUUUAUGGUGCAGAAGCGUGGACCAUGUCAACAUUCGAUGAGGCGGCACUAGGAGUUUUCGAGAGAAAGGUUUUGCUGUAGAUUUAUGGUCCUUUAAACAUUAGCAACGGCGAAUACCGCAGAAGAUGGAAUAUGUAAUGUAUGUGUUAUUCGUCGAAAUAGACAUAGUCCAGCGAAUAUAAAGACAGCGGCUACGUUGGUUAGGUCAUGUUGUUCGAAUGGACGAAAGGGCUCCAAACUCUGAAAGUGUACAAUGAGGGUACCCGCUGGUGAAAGCCGUGGAAGAGGGAGGCCUCCAUUCCGAUGGAAGGACCAGGUGGAUAAGGACCUGUAUUCACUGGGUAUUACCAAACUGCCAAAAGGAGAGAUGCGUGGCACGCUGUUGUGGACUCAGCUAUAACCGCGUAAACAGUGUCUACGCUAGUCAAGAAAAAUAAUAAUCUGUUUAUAUGAAUAAUCUGCCUUGAGUCGCUAUUGUUGUACUAUAGUUUGUUUCACUAUUAAAAGUACUGCAAGUACUGCAGCUCGCUUUGCCUUCCAAGAACAAUUUGCUGUAAUUACAUUCCUUUAAAAUACGCUGCAGCUCCCAGUCAAACAUAGUAUAAAUCUGUAAAAAUGAAAUUUACUAUAAAUAUAAAAUAAUAAUACAAAUUAUUAAUACGCAUUUACAUCCACUUACUUGAUCAUUGUAGUACGUGCAUAUCUCUCUUAUAGAUUCAAAAACUAGGGUUAAUGAAUGUUCCCACUUACUACCGAGAUCGCCAUUUAACAACAAAAAGUUAGUACUUUGUAUGUGUUGGUAAAACUGAAAUUUUGUAUGUGCAGUGGUGUAUGAGUUAGGCCACACAUUGUCGAAUAUCAUUAUUAAUCCCUCUUCUACACAUCAAAUUUCACAGAAAAUCGCCGUAACUGUUUAGGCUCUUACAGUUGACCUGACGCUUGGCAUAGACAGACCGGCACGGCAUAAGAUUUAAUUUUAAUUGUAUUCGGUAUUUUUGUAUAAGUUUAAAUUAAUAAAAAAACGCAGACUUUGUACCCUCAAAAAAACGGAAAUUAAUCGAUAUUUAAUAUUUAGCAAUGGAAAAGUGUAACUUGUAUUUGUAAACUAUAUUUGGGUAGCAUUCAAAACCGCGUUAUUAAAAGAAGGGAAUGUUGAACCAACAGUUAAAGAGCGUUUGGCGGGAGACAAUGUUAUAGGUGCACCUUUCGAAAUGCCUAAAAUAGAGUAAGUGUUUUAAAUGUACUCGGAUGGGAUAACAGGCAGCGCGUUGAAAUGAGUCUCAGGAUAGGAUAAAGCCAGAAAAGGCUAACACUCUAGCAAGAAGCUAGAAGUCUGGUAAAUGCUUCAUAUUUAAAAUCUUGCCAUUUUUUCAAUAUUUCUCUAUUCAUUGAAUCUGCUCUUUGAAGCCUAACAAUAAGUUAUAAAAUCUUAAUUCUAAAUAAAUCUAGACAAGCUCAAUGAAGUGAUUGAGUUGUUUUGGUGAAUCGUUGCUCUUUAGUGUGCAGGCAUAUCUCUUCUUUUUAGACCUGAUUGAUCGGAGGUCGGAUACAUAUUUAUUUCUGCUGUUCUUUACUUAUUUCUUUACCAUAAUAAUUCCCAGAUCUUUAUGGAUUUCAUUACGCAUGUACCAUGGUGCGCAC